rnacentral:lncRNA from 1 species
GUUGUUUCAGAAACAAUGAAAGAUAGAUUCAGUCUUCAAAAGGAAAGUGUUAUGCUAAGGAAGAUUAAAAUGUAAAGAAACUACUAUACUACAAAGCAAGAUUUAAGAAAAGUCACAUUUUAAAUAAUGGGCAAGGAGCAGUUUACUCAAAAGAUCAUGGAAUGUAGAAAACUUGGGAAUGCUGACCUACAAAGCCCGAAGAGUGCUGUAAACAGAGCUUUAAUGGCUGUUCAGGUUGCUUUGGUCAUGGUGUUUUAUCACAGUAACAGAAAAUGGGUGGAGUCCUGUUCCCUAUCCUGCUGCCUAUGGUUGGAGAAGGACCACAGAUGCAUGUUGCUUUCUGACUGAUGGUUGCAGAAACUCAGUUUUCAGAUCAAUGCAUCUGAGGAGUAAGAGAGACUGAUGAUCUGCUCCAAGGAGGCUGCUCACAAAUGAUCCCUCAGAGUCACAACAGAGCAUCAACGAACAAUGAACAGUGUCUAUGGGGACUUGGUUCUUUCAGGUCUGCUUUAACUUAUGCUUGCAAAGCACAGACCUCAGGACUGACUCACAGAAGGCUCUUCUCUGACAGAACAACAGCUUUCCACAAUUUGGGAAAGCACAGACCACCUUUAUCUAAGAUUUCAGCAGAAGGACCUAUUACUGUUCAUUCGAUAAUGGGACAUUGUAAUGAAACUGAGAUAAUAAAAAGCAUAUGUGUUUGGAACUGGUUCAAAUGGGGCAAUG